CAGUAUAAACUGACUCAACCAAAAAGAAAUUUGUGGAUUUAGGUAACUGGGAGAGUUAAUGGCUGGUAUGAACUUUAGCAAUGACCAGAUACCAAGAGGACAGUAACUCUCUGCUUUGCUCCGUUGACUUCCUUCUCAGGUGGCUUCAUUCUCUCUCCAUACGGUUUGCGGUGGCCACCGGCUGUUGCAGGCUUUUACCUUCUGUGGGCUUAGCGAUAGUUGCUAAGUGACGGUUCUAGCAGAAGUCCUGGUGAUGAGUUUCACUGCUCAGGUCUGGCUCAUCUUUUGAGUUGGGGUCAGGCAGGGGGGCAAGCCCUAUCCAACCCACGUAGAUGAUUCCCCAGAGGAGAAGAGAUACUCUUUUAUCAGAAGAAGAAAAUGCUGGACAAACAAAAUGACAGAUAUCUAGUAGACAGAAACUUCUCUCCCAUUGAAUGAGGACUACAGAGUGGGAAUGGAAGAGACUUGGGGAUUAGAAAAAUCAGAGUUGGGAAUGCAGCAUUCUCCUGUGUCUUCACAGAUACCGGGACUACCGGGACUCUCCUCAUUCACUGGUGCCCUAUGGCUACACGCUGCAGUUCUGGCACGUUCUAGCAGCUCGACUGGCUUUUAUCAUUGUGUUUGAGCACCUCGUAUUUUGUAUAAAGCACCUCAUUUCAUAUCUGAUCCCAGACCUCCCAAAAGACCUAAGGGAUCGAAUGAGAAGAGAAAAGUACUUGAUUCAGGAGAUGAUGUAUGAAGCAGAACUGGAACGCCUCCAAAAGGAACGAAAGGAGAGGAAGAAAAAUGGAAAAGCACACCACAACGAGUGGCCGUGACCAGUAGGCAGGAUGUCGUGUUGCUUCAGACUGGCUUUCUGACUCAGUCUGUUCAUCUGUAAAACAGGCAUGAUAAUGUUUAUACCGUACCUGACUCAGUAUGGAGUUACAAAUGCUUUGAUGAUGAUAGUAGUUCCUUUCCAGGCCAAGGACCUGAAUUCCGUUUACUUCUCCCAGCUGUGCAAAAGCACAUCCAAGUGAAUGACUAAAAAUGCAAGCGCAGUGCAUGUUGCAGACACAGGCUGCCGCGAGGGGUCAGCACCCAGUGGAGGACUGGCAUUGCAGUCACGCUGCUGUGAAGUCACGUCGCAGUCCGGCACACAACUGCUAUCUAUCCAUAGACCAUUCCUGACCAAGCAAGCAUGCACAUUAUGGGCAGUUACAUUCUCAAGUUUUUAAAACCAAGGGGAACUUGUAUACUGGGCCUGUUUUUCAGCCUGUUUGCUACCUUUUUUGCAUUCUAUCCUGUGUGAAUUUUACAGACACUGGGCUAAAAAGGGUAUUUGGACACCUGGAUACACAUUCCUAGAAUGUCAUCAUAUGGUCCUAAUUCCAUGUCACCAACGACACAGACAAGACCCUGUUUACAACUUUUUCUUUCCUUUUUUUUUAAUUUCAGAUCUUUCUGAAAAGAUUAUUGUAUAUGACAUAUCUAUAGCUAUGUGUAUGGCCAUAGAUGUAUUUCUGUGUGUACAUAUGUAUAGUCAUGUAUUCCUACAUAUGUACAUACAAAUACAGAGAUAUAUAAAGUACAUAGAAAUUCCUUACUUGUAAAUAGCCAAAAAGUACUGACAUGAAUGAUGAAUUUUCACAUUUAAAUAAUCAUCAACAUGAAGCCAUGUUUAAUGCUUGUAUAAUGUGAUGCAAUAAAAUUUAAAAUAAAUUUAUGCACAUGGAAUAUUUUCAGCUGA